rnacentral:rRNA from 1 species
GAUGAACGCUGGCGGCGCGCCUAAUACAUGCAAGUCGAGCGAACAGACGAGGAGCUUGCUCCUCUGACGUUAGCGGCGGACGGGUGAGUAACACGUGGAUAACCUACCUAUAAGACUGGGAUAACUUCGGGAAACCGGAGCUAAUACCGGAUAAUAUAUUGAACCGCAUGGUUCAAUAGUGAAAGACGGUUUUGCUGUCACUUAUAGAUGGAUCCGCGCCGCAUUAGCUAGUUGGUAAGGUAACGGCUUACCAAGGCGACGAUGCGUAGCCGACCUGAGAGGGUGAUCGGCCACACUGGAACUGAGACACGGUCCAGACGCCUACGGGAGGCAGCAGUAGGGAAUAUUCCGCAAUGGGCGAAAGCCUGACGGAGCAACGCCGCGUGAGUGAUGAAGGUCUUCGGAUCGUAAAACUCUGUUAUUAGGGAAGAACAAAUGUGUAAGUAACUAUGCACGUCUUGACGGUACCUAAUCAGAAAGCCACGGCUAACUACGUG